GACCCCGUGGCCCAAUGGAUAAGGGGUUGGUCUACGGAACCGGGGAUUCUGGGUUCGAUCCCCAGUGGAGUCG
rnacentral:tRNA from 1 species